AAAGAAUGAAAUAAUGCCAUUUGCAGCAACAUGGAUGAACCUAAAGAUGAUCACACUAAGUAAAGUCAGUCAGACAAAGACAAACAUCAUAUGAUAUCACUUAUAUGUGGAAUCUAAAAGAUCACACAAACUUAUUUACAAAACAGA